UCUAGCCCAAUAAAUUUAGUCCAUUAAGACAUUAAGUAGAAUAUAUCCUAACCGUUGGAUUACAUCUAAUGGUUCAGAUUCACUCUUCAUUUUAAACCCUACAAACUUGUUUCUCUCCCAAAGCAGCCGCACCUAGCUUUCUUCUCCACUUCCAUCCUCAGUAAGGUUCCAAAGGUUUUCAACCCCAAUAUCAGAAGAGGUCUCGCCAUUUCGGGAAAGACCUCCGAAUCUCAUGCUAAGAGGGCUUUUUGACUGAGGGCUGAAUUCGGAUUGGUCGGAGUCCGUCGGAUCUGAGACCCUGCACCCCAGUUCACUGCACCUAAAAAAGGUCAGUCUAUCAACAUUAUAUAUUUCUUUAAGUUCAUUUACUGUCAAAGCAUGAAACACUAGUUGGAUGGUAUAAAAAUUAUGUGUUAGUUUCAUUUUGCUUAGAAACGUGUCAGGAAGUUAUUUUGAUGACAGUUUAUUAAUCAAACCAUAUCAUUGAUGUUUGUCAAGAUGUCUAAAUAGCAUUAUAAUAUUAUUCAUGUUUUGAUCAUUGAUGCUGCCUAAAUACGAGAUAAGAUUGUGUGUUCAGUAGUUUCAUUAUGAGUCAUAUCGCAGUGUGUUUUCUAACGGGAGUUUGUUAGUCUCAUCUUCAUAUCUAAGUCUAGAUAUAAUGGCUAUGGGUGACUUGUCAUAUGCUAUUAAGUAAUGUCAUACCAUCUGAGUUCUGUUGGGUUUUCUUAAACUAGUAAAAGGCAUUAAAUGGACUCGCGCUAUUUAAAAAAAAAAAGGGGUUACUGCUCUAUUAUUCUCUAAUGAUAAUAAAUUUGGAGAUUUGAAUACUUUGGCCAUCAAGAAACAAAUGCUACUACGAAGAGGUGUUUUACUUAGACAUUGUGCUUAAAAAAAAACAAAAAAAACUUGCACUAAGACUCUCUUUUACUCUUGCACAUAGUACAUUGUGAACCAUUAGUAGGUUUGUAGUUUAUUUUAGUUGCUUGACUAGUUAACUUAGUAUGUGGUCAUUGGUUACCCAUGAAGAUUUGCCAUAUAACUCCACUGUCAGUUGUCAAUACUUGUCUUUAUGUUCUCUUCUUUCGUUACCAGAUUCUGUCUAAACUUUGGAUGGGACUUUAAACAUGGGACAUGAUAUGGAUAAUUAUGUAAUCUUUGUUUUAGUAUGGUUCACGAGCUGCUAUAAUUCAAGUAGUUAUGUUGUUUUCUUUGGGUUUUGUUUGUUGGUUUCCUGAUGGAUGUUUAGAAAUCAGAUUUCUCUUUUCUAAUUCUUAUUUUGUUUUUCUCUUUUGCAUAUGCACAUGGGACAUGACAUGGAUAACUAUGUAAUCUUUGUUUUAGUGUGGUUCACAAGCUGCUAUAAUUCAAGUAGUUAUGUUGUUUUCUUUGGGUUUUGUUUGUUGGUUUCCUGAUGGAUGUUUAGAAAUCAGAUUUCUCUUUUCUAAUUCUUAUUUUGUUUUUCUCUUUUGCAUAUGCACUUGGAGCGACAUCGAGUCUUGGUACAAGACUUACCACCAUACCCGAGCAUGGAGUCGAUAACACAAAGUUUCCCUUAAAUGCAUCAAAUCUGUCUAGAGGAACGAGCAAAAUUGCUCGGGACUUCUUUUGGCUAUCCUUCUAUUACCAGUCAUUCCAUUUUUCAUUUUUUUUUUAUUUUAUUGCAUUUUUUUAAAUUUUUUUGUCAAACACAAUCACUGGUUUGUUUAUGCUUGGUGUAUCCUUGUUUUGGGAUUUUAGGAUAAACUUAGUUAGUGUAGGUUUUAUUCUAUCGUUUAGACUAUCCCAAUCAUUUUUUAUUAAUAAAGUAAUAUUUUCAUCA